UCCGAGUUGACCCCGGCAGUCUCCUACGAGUCCCCGGCAUAACCCGCUGGCAACAUAGGACAAGGGUUGCGCUCGUUGCGGGACUUAACCCAACAUCUCACGACACGAGCUGACGACAGCCAUGCAGCACCUGUCUUGGGACUCCGAAGAGGGGUCCUGGUUUCUCAGGACUUUCCCCGAGAUGUCAAGCCCAGGUAAGGUUCUUCGCGUUGCAUCGAAUUAAUCCGCAUGCUCCACCGCUUGUGCGGGCCCCCGUCAAUUCCUUUGAGUUUCAGCCUUGCGGCCGUACUCCCCAGGCGGGGCACUUACUGCGUUAGCGACGGCACUCAGAGGGUCGCUCCCCCAAGCACCUAGUGCCCAUCGUUUACGGCGUGGACUAC
rnacentral:misc_RNA from 1 species